CAACAGUAGUUCUACAGCAUUAAAAAACUAAAUACAACAAAAAACAACACUAUCUCCCUUCAUAGCCACUCCUCCAAAACACAUGAACGCACACUAUCUGAAAACCCCCAUUCAAAGCCAACAUAGUCUAACAGAAGAUAAAAUACCAUCAAAUGACAGUUGUUUGGUGGCAGUAUCACAGAUAUAUGUCGACACACUCUAAACUGGAAAAGGAUGCAACGCUAAAAGACAUGAAUACCAAUCUACCUGAUCAUCUGACAUGUUUAGCAGUGCAAAAUGCUGCAGGUUUAGGUGGAAGUAUAAAGUGUGGCUGUGCUUUUACUGCAGUUCUUAUGCUAUCUGCUUAUUGCUCUAGUGAGAGGUGACUGUUCACUGCAGGACCUCGGGGCAAGCACGAGAUGAUGCGAACGUUUACAGGAACGACUUCGUAAUAGGCCUUUUCAUUGCAGUGUAGGAUCCAACAGCUCAGAGUGCACCAAAACAACAACAGAUAGCAGUUAUUGGAUGUAAUUCCCAUUCUGUGAGCACGUAUGAAGUAGAACAAUGGAGGCUGUAAGGCAAAUUUUUCGUUCUUGAUGGUGAUGUCAGAGAGAAGAAGAUGAGAGUGCAGAAAAAAAAAUGGCACCUAUUGUUUCUUGAAGGUGAACCAAUCAGCAUCAGGACCCACACAGCACUGUUUCAGGGCCACUGAGAAGUACCUAGUCUGGAGUAGGAAGCUUUUUCCUCUUGAAUAACACUGAAAAAGGUUCUGCAGGAGCGGUCAGAAAGCUUACAAAGGUUUGGAUGGCUUUACCACUGCCUGCAAGUUCCUUCAAUGAAAAAUGGCUUAAUGUGUCCACUGAGCCUUAUCGAGAAGUCCAUUGAUGCACAGGCAGAUGGGCUUCAAUCAUCCAGUCAUCUCAUGCUGAGCAACUGCAAUGAUUAGGAUACAAAUAACAAAUUUUUAAAUGAUUAUUAUCAGAACACUUGAUUAUUGCUUGACAUCAGGAUGUAAAGAGUUUUUCAGCAAAUUUAGCAAAAAAGUUCCUAUGAAACUUGGCUCAUUGGUCAAGGGGUAUGAUUCUCGCUUAGGGUGUGAGAGGUUCAAAUCAGUCUCCAACAAAGAGGAGGACUAUUUGAUGGAGAACACCCACCUGGAGGACUGGUGCAGAGACAACAGCCUCCUCCUGAACAUCAGCAAGACCAAGGAGCUGAUUGUAGACUACAGCAAGAAGCAGCAGAGAGCAUACCACCCACUCAGGAUCAGCGGAACAGAGGUGGAGAGCUUCAAGUACUUGGAUGCUAACAUCACGCAGGACCUAACGUGGUCCUGUCACAUUAACACCCUGGUGAAGAAAGCUUGACAGCGUCUCUACAACCUCAGACGCCUGAGGGACUUUAAGCUCAGGAAUUUCUAUACCUGCAACACUGAGAGUGUUUUGGCUGGGAGCACUGUUCCCUCUAAACUGCGCGCGUGCGCAAUUGCGCACUGCUGACACGCUCUCCGCGCACAGAAAAUCUGUGCUGCGCACAAAAAAAAAAAAUACAACCUAAAUUGUAUAUAAAAUAAACACGUAACAAUUCAUUCUGUGCUACUUUUCAAUGUGAGUCAGUGAGUGACGGUGACUGGCUGCUGCAGCCAAUGAUGCGAUUCACAUACGCAUUUACCAUAGACUGUAUAUAAUGGUAUUUACGCAGCUAAUCAACGUCUGGCGUCCUUAUAUGCAGCCACCGUUGUUCUCAUAGACAUGAAUGAGUAGAUAGGACACGCCCCUUUGAGCUGCGUGCUACAGCGAGGCUAAGCUAGUGGGGGCAAAGUUUCAGUGCAUUCCGUUGAUGUAGACGGCGUGAAAACGGAAACAACAAGUAUGCCGUCUCGCUGUGCUGCAUACAAUUACACACUACGUCGUACGAUUGAGACAAGGAAACUUGGAAUGACUUUUCAUAGGUUUCCCAGAGACUAUGGGUUGAGGAGGAAUUGGAAGUUUGUCAGCUUAGACCUGGUGUCAUUCCAUCAGUGUUAAACUUCCCGGCUCAUCUUGGAAGAGUACGUGCCAGAAAGACCACGACCAAGCAGCCUUGAGAUCUUAGGCAGCGUCUCCCUGAGGUCCCUCUCUAUCUCCCCACACAUCCACCAACCACUGGAACACAUCUCCAAAGUUCUGCCGGGCCAGCUCAGCUUCCCCUCAGAAGAAGUGCCGCCACCUGCCAGAUGAAGGAGCCUUUUGAGAGGCAGCUGGCAUCGUGAUUGGACUGUACUUUGGUCUGUUCCAAUCCAGCUUCAGCUCCAGAGACGGCAGGCGGGACGAGUCAACGGAGGCCGGGUGGACGAAUGCAUGCAGCUGAGUACAAUCCAGAAAACAACAGAGGAGGAGUGCAGCGGUAGUAGCAUCGUAUGUCUCUUAGAAAACAUCAUAGUAUAGCCUUUGGUAUGAAAAAACGCCAUCAUAUACAUCAUAUAUUGUACAAAUAACAAGUCAAAGGAAAGAGACAUACAUUGUAGAAUUGUAGUAAAUGUGGGCUGACUGAUUUACUGAUUAUCAGUAUUUUAUUUUUUACUGAUUUAUGGUAAUGAAUACAUUUAAAAAUGGUGCUACUUUGGCUCUGAACCUUUAUCUACCUGUGGUCGCUCUGUCUUCUGGAGUGAUUUGAUUGGUUAUACGUAACGAAUAAAACUCCUUUAACAUCUGUAAACAAAACAAAAACGUAUCAACAAAGUUUUCUGUUAGAGUUUGUGUUCUUCUAAGUUUAACUCAAGAUUUUAAAUACUUUCAUUUACUGCAAAUGAAUAUCUGCUCCAAAUGUCUCACUAAUAAUCAUUAUCAGCCUUAAAAACCCACAAAACACCCCUCUAUACUCGACCACACUUAGUACAGUCUGGUUCCCCCUUCUAUAAAUCUGCUUGGAAUCUUCCACUUCCUGUUUGUCAAAGUGGCCUUCUACCUGGACAGGUUUUGUUGGAGCUCAUGCAACAAACAUUUUGGGUAACUGCACUUUAAUAUGGAUGGAUGACACUGAAUUAGAGUCUGUUUUAAUGAGACUGAGUUAAGAUGUGUAGCUCUGUCAUUAAAUAGGAAAUUAUUUCUCAGAAUUCACAGAGAAAAGUCUGAAAUGUUUGCUAGGUUAGCGUCCCACAUGUUCUUUGGCUCAGCUAAAGCUAACUCUCGCCAACUUCUGGAUCUCUUGAGUUGCUUGUUGUUAAAAUAUCUUGCUAUAGGUGCUGAAGCUCAGAAAGUCUGAGAUGUUUGUUCAAAAUAAGCUCAUUCUCAAGUCUUCUCUGAACUGUCCUCUUUUGUUUGAACUUUCCCUAAACUUAGGAGUUAAUGACAGAGCAGCACAUCCAGACUCAGUCUCAUUUAUGUAGAGAUUAAACUUCAGUGUCAUUCAUUGAUGUUAAAGUGCAGUUUUUCAAAUGUUUGUUGCACAUGCUCCCGACCAAACCAGUCCUGGUGGAAGACGAUGUGAAGAGAAAGCUCCAGAGGAUGAAUAUCACACAUUUACAUUGGAAAUUAAUGUCCUUUAAUUAGACAUUGUCAUGCAAAAGUUGGAUUUCCCUUUAAUGAUGUUCAAAUCUUUGUUGAGUGUUUUGUUGAUGUUGGUUUCUAAAUGUUUUUUGACACUCGGCCCCAAAGAUUAAAACCUUCUACGGCUCACAAGCUGCAACAAUUCACACAUUAUCAAUUAUCUUUCUGACUAAACUAAGAUAAAAAGUGAAAAACUGCCUGAUUCCUGCAUGAUGAAUGUAAAUCUUUUUGGUUUUUAUGACAGUAAACCUAAUAUAUUUGGGUUUGACAUUUUAUAAACCAAAACAAGAAAUGAAUUACUGGAGGAAAUGACAGAUUAAUGGAUAAAGAAAAUGUGUUUUCUAACAUAUAUGGCUGAAUUACUCCAACAUUACAAGAUACAUACAAUUUAAAUUCUAUUUUAUUUAUAUAACGCCAGUUACAGGUCAAAUUGUCUCAAGACGCUUUAUUUUUAUAUUUUUUUGUCAUACUUAAAAUAUGACAAAGUAAGAAAUGUAAAGCUCUUGACUAACCCAAUUUAUUAUUUGGUUUUUAAGAGAUUAAUUGACAAUUAAAAUAACUUUCUCCACUAAAACUAAUAAACAUGAGGUCAAAUCGAAGGAUGAGUUUUAAAUACUGCAGUCCCACGACGACAAGAAUAAAGUUUGUCAACAAAAAGUAAAUCUGCUUGUGGAUUCCAUUAAAGUCCUAAUAAAGGAUAAUAAAGUGUGAUACUAAAGGUUUGUGGUGCUAAAAAUGUCCAAGUAAAGAUAUCAAGUUGAACAUCUGGAUGGAGGUUGAUAAAAGUUGACCUCCCUUCAUUUCUCUGGAGCGACUCCAUGGAUUUUAUGGAUGGUGGUUAAAGACCUGCUCUUCUAGUGGUCUUCCUUCUAGUCGCUGUAAAAAGUCAGUCCAUCCUGGCCGACUUCAACACCUCUUCAUGACAACUUGUUCUGCCUCCGACCUGGUGGAAACUCCAGAAACUCGGGAAAACCUGUCGAGACUCGAGGAACUCGUGGAGACUCGAAGAACUCGUCGGGCGGGGGAAGGUGUGGUGGGAGGUGGGGAGUAGAGGAGGGAGGCCGCCACCCACCUCCCCGCCUACUCUCCGCCCUGACUCCACCCAGGCCCCGCCUUGGCUCUGCCCAUGUGGUCACUUCAGGAACUACGAUGCCAAAGGGACGACGAAUUUAUUUCUUUUCAUCUGAUCUGUAGCUCAGUGAGUUAAGGAUUUGCCUAUGGAGCUGCAGGUCGCUGGUUCAAGACCAGACCCUUCUUAAAGUUUUUGAAAAUCCUGACAAAGACAAAGAAAGAAAACUGCCACUGGUGGGUCUUGAACCUGCGACCCUCCGCUCUGUAGUCUCUCCUCUUAUCCCCCUGAGCUACUCGCUCAGAUAGUAAUUCUUCUUUUUUUUGCGCAUUUAUCAUCUAUUUUUUGUCAUUUUCGAGUUUUUUUUUUAACUUGAGUCUCGACUCGACCGUUUUUCUCAGGAGGUUGGACUUCAGCCUUUGUGCUGGAGGGUGGAACCCUCAGUUCCAAGACUUUCCAAAGCCUCCACACCUCCCGAGUCCUCAGGACCUGAGCUUUCACACAGUCUGAGGGCUGAAAUUUUCUAAGUCCCACAGUAGUUCUCUGUUAGUUUGAACCUUCAGACAGUCCGAGGACUGAAAUCCUCUAAGUUCCUGAGUAGUUCUCUGUUAGUUUGAACCUUUAGACAGUCCAAGGACUGAAAUCUUAAAAGUUUCUCAGUACUUCUCUGUUAGUUUGAACCUUCAGACAGUCUGAGGACUGAAAUUUUAAAAGUUUCUCAGUACUUCUCUGUUAGUUUGAACCUUCAGACACUCUGAGGACUGAAGUUUUAAAAGUUUCUCACUACUUCUCUGUUAGUUUGAACUUUCUGGUUAACAGAAGCCUUAAAACUUGUGACCAUGAGUCUUGAUUUCACAUUUAGACCAUCCAUCUGAGUUUUUCUCAGACCUUCACCUGUGGGUUUUUUAGAAAUCCUUAACAAACUUUGAUUCUCUUCACUGAACAGUAAAGUUUGUGGAGAUCAGAAGGUAACAUUAGUUUGAUCAAUGCCUUCAACUACUAGUAGACUUUAUCUGGAAAGCAGUUUUCUGAAAUGAGUUCUUAGUAAAUCUGUCCACAAUCAAACCAAGAACAUAGAAAGAGGAAAUGUUUGAAGAAACAACUUGAUGUUUUCAUUUCAGACUAGAAAACACUUGAAGACCUUUAUCUGUUUUUGCUCUUUUUCAUCCUUUUAUUGUCUCUUCUGUUUAAUUUGAUCUUCUAAAAUUUAACUGGUGUCUUUUCAAAUGUUUUGUCUUUAGUUUGAUUCUUCUUAAAUGCUUAGUUUUGCUCUUUUCUCACCUUUUAUUCUUUUCUAAUGUCUCAUUUGAUUUUGAAAUGUUGUCUUUUUAAUGUUUAAUUGUUGUUUUUUCAAAUGUUUUAUUGGCUUGUUUGAAAAAUUUCCUUUUUCUUUCCCAAUGUUUAAUUUUUUGAUUAAAUCUUUGUUAAGGUUUUUCUUUUUAAA